CCUACGGGGGGCUGCAGUAAGGAAUAUUGGUCAAUGGACGCAAGUCUGAACCAGCCAUGCCGCGUGGAGGAUGAAGGUCCUCUGGAUUGUAAACUUCUUUUAUUUGGGAAGAAACCCACGAUUUCUAUUGUGGUUGACGGUACCAGAUGAAUAAGCACCGGCUAACUCCGUGCCAGCAGCCGCGGUAAUACGGAGUGUGCAGGCGUUAUCCGGAUUCACGGGGUUUUAGGCGGGCGUAGACGGGAGUGGUGAAAUCCCCGAGCUUAACUUGGGAACUGCCGUUGAUACUAUCUGUCUUGAAUACUGUGGAGGUAAGCGGAAUAUGUCAUGUAGCGGUGAAAUGCGUAGAUAUGACAUAGAACACCUAUUGCGAAGGCAGCUUGCUACACAGUCAUUGACGCUGAGGCACGAAAGCGUGGGGAUCAAACAGGAUUAGAUACCCCAGUAGUC
rnacentral:rRNA from 1 species